GAGCAAGGUAGGAAGUUCUUGGAGGGAAGGAUGCCGGGGGUCUAUUUGGAAACAGCCUCUAUGCAUAUCAGUGAAUGUGAGGAUGGUGCCCUUCUUGUACUGCUUAUCUUUCAUAUCUCUGGUGUGAUCUUCUUUUCCUUUUUUCUACUUGGGGUAAUUUUAAAGUGGUAAAAGUGAAAGAAGGUUGUUGCAAGUCAAUCUUUUAUCCUUCUACAUUUAGUUUCAGUUGUGGAAAACCCUGUCAAUGUUUGUAGUUA
rnacentral:lncRNA from 1 species